UACAACCAUACCUUUCUAACCCAACAAUUGCAGCCCCUUGUAAUUAAGAUGCAUAUACCUCAAGUGUCAUAAUUCAUAAUUGUUCUUUGCACGAGCAACCAAAGCAAAAUUUUCCACAUUUGAGAUUUCAAGUGGAAACAUCUUAUUUUUUAUCAUUUGGACACUAACCAUUGUUUGACAUAUCUUUUUAUCUUUAAUAACAUAAACUCCAUUGUCAAAUAAAAUCGAAUAGCCACAAGUCACUAAUUGCCUAACACUCAAUAAAUUAUGUGUCAAUCUAGGAAUGUACAUAAAUUAUGGAGAAGUUUUACUUUACCAUUACUUGUUUUAAUUGCUAUCAUACGUUUCCCUUCAACUUGAAUAUUAUCUUCAUGUCUAACGUAUAGUUGGAGCAACCACCAUUUACAAAUCAUACAUCACUUGCAACUUCAUUAGUAUUAUAAUAAGUCAUAAACAACUUACUUUUCUCAUUAGUUUUCUCUAUAUAAUUAACUUGCUUCUCCUUAUACCAAUAAUGUGUUUUAACAUGCCCUACCUUUUACAUUGAUAACAUUGGACUCCACUCAUGCUGCCUCUUUGUUCAUUGGUGGAGUGCCUUUUUUCAAAACUUCUGCCUCUUUCUCUGCCAUAAUUUUUUGCACAUCUACCUUGAUCUCUUCCUGCUGCUGGCUUGUCAAAUUC
rnacentral:lncRNA from 1 species